CGCAACUUGCGCUCAUUGGUAUUCCAAUGAGCAUGCCUGUUUCAGUAUCAAAACAAACCCUCUAUCCAACAUUUGUUGAAUAGGAUGACUGAGAGUCUCUUGAUCUUUAUUGAUCUCGAACCUCUUGAAAUGUACAAAGGCCUGAUCUUGUUUAAAAGCCUGAACUUUUUUUUAAUAUAAAGAGAAGCUCUUGCGGUAAACUGUGCUGGGGCCUCCCAAAUAAUACUUUUUAAAUUUGAUCUGAAAUCAGGUAGGAUUACCCGCUGAACUUAA
rnacentral:misc_RNA from 1 species